UUAGGAAUAUCAGAGCAUAAUAAAAGUCUAAAUGCUACAACAAAGGAUGAGGAAAAGCUGUAAAUCCACUAAAUAAGGCAUAAAGUAAAUACAAUAGGAAAUCCCAAAUACAAGUGCUAAGAGUAGAUACAUAGGUGGUCUCUAUACAGGGUACAAAACUCUCACUCUCUCAACUACAAAAGAAAGAGUAAACCACCUAGGCAAGUAAGCUCCUCGCUAGCUAGCUACGCGAUCCCCUUGCCGCGAUCCCGUGCCUCCGCCGGUGCCGAAGGCUCUGAAAAGGAAACCAUAAAACAGGGGCGUGAGAACUAUCAAAAAUAGUUCCCAGUGGGCAAUUACUGACUUCAGUGAAUGCACCACAAGGCCCAAAGCUACAAAAGAGGUUAGUGACUAUAGAUGUAGAAAAGCGAAAGGUAAGUAAAAUGUAACUUACUACAACAUGAUAUCUCUACUUAGCCUAAAUAGCAUAAGUAUGAAACAACUAUGCAUGAAGUAAAAGUCUCCAACUAUCAUAAUGUUCACAAUGCGAAAUAGUAAAGUUCUAUUGUUUACUAUUCUAGUCAAUGUCCAAAUAAUACUCUAAAUCAUCAUCUGUCCACAUGUCAUAACGAAUACUCAAGUCGAAUCUGAAGAGACCCACCCGAAGGCUGUCUAUGGCCCUGAGACCCACCCGAAGGCUGUCUGGCCGGUGCCGAGCCUAAUGGCCCCGUGGUAGUCAUCAUCCCCACCCUAGGGAUGAGCCUGUCCCACGGCAAUCCACUUCGGCGCCCAAUCCCGCACGGCGAAUAUGUAUCGCGAUGGCUAUCUCCGGAGUGCCGGCUUGUAGGGAGCGACCCUCACAAGCAUGUGCGAAUGAGCACAAUGGCAAGUAGUCAAACGAUCUGUCGCAAGUACCAAGUCCUCAUGUCUAAUAACAUGGAAUGUGUCAAGUAUCUCAAUGGCCUAUCCCUAUGUCAUCAUGUCUCUAACAUGGAAUAUAGCAGAUAUGUAGUGGCCUAUCAAUAUGUCUCUAUGUUGCAGUUUCAUAGUUUACUAGUUUCAAGUGCCCCUUUAUGACACUCUUGUUCUCUAUGUCAAAACAUGGCAACUAUGUUCCAAGGUACAUAUUCCAAGUCAUCAUCAUCAUAAGAGAUGUAUUUUUCAUUUGCAAAACAAGUACAUUUCCCGUAUGCAUGCAUUCUACUCAUAUAGCUCUACUAUAUAGUGAAAUUUUCAUAAUACUCAAGGCAUGCAUUUUAAGUGCUCUA
rnacentral:lncRNA from 1 species